AGGCACGUAGCUCAGGGGGAGAGCACUACCUUGACAUGGUAGGGGUCGGCGGUUCGAGACCGCCCGUGCCUA
rnacentral:tRNA from 1 species